GGCGGAAGCUAGCCUUGUGCUUUGCGGCAGCGAGGCGAGCUGCGUCCGGAUCCUAGUAGGUACCUCCGUGCUGGAGGGUCUGGAGGCGCCGCCGGUGGUAGUGUUUGUGUGAUGCCUUAGGGGUUUAUUUCUUAAACUCUUAGGGUUUUUGUUUUUGUUUGUUUGCUUUUAAUCUUCAGAAAGGCAAGAAUAAUUGAUCUGUUGGGAGUCUGAGGCUCUGUUACUCCCGGAGAGGCUCCUUUCCCUUUCCUGCAUCUUUUCCUUUACGCAGACUUUACUCUUUUGCGGGUGAGACUCGCGCCCCCCCACCUCCACCCCACCCCCCGACGUCUUGCCGUUUUAUUUGGUUUUAGCUGCGUUCUCCGGGAGAAUGCCAGCCUCCGGGUGAUCUUUUUUUCUCUAGUAGAUCCGCACCAGCCUCCCAUCUCGGCUCCCUGGAGGAGGCCCGCUCAUCACUGCCGCAGUCUGAGGAAUGGAGCAGCACAGCCCUCGGGAAUCCCCAUCGCAGGAAGGAUCUUCCUUGCCGGGAGAGCGGCCUUCCUCCGCCCUCGGACAGUCUUUCUCCCAGAUUUUGCAUCGUCUUACCAGCCAGGAGUCCCGACGGGGCAAGGCCAGAAGUGCCGUAGUUCAGGACCUCGGUGCUCUAAUAGAAGCCGCAGAAUGUGAUCAGUUAUUUGAGGGUAGUGGCACAUCGCCCCGCGGAAUGCCAGAGAUGCUGGGGCAGGUGGCAAAAGCCCUAGAGGAGUAUGCAGCCCCACCCAAGGAGCAGCAAGGUAGAGGUCAUGGCCACUCUGAAGUGGCCGAGAAAGCGGCAGCAGUUGGGGUACUGUUUCUUAAACUGUUGGGGAAAAUUGAGGCGGCCCAGAAUUCCUUGCCUUGUCCUACAUGGAAGAUAGGCCUGCGUCACUUGGCAGGACCCAUCUAUAUUUUCGCGGUCACACACAGCUUGGAGCAACCAUGGACCAGCCCGAGAUCCCAUGACGUUGCUGGAGAGGUGCUCUCCUUACUCCUCCGAGUUACUCGGUGUGGUUCUGUGGCAGGAUUUCUGCACGGAGAAAAUGAAGAUGAGAAAGGGAGAUUUACUGUAAUAAUGGAGCUCCUCAAACCUGAUCUGAAUAAGGAAUCCUGGAAGAAAAACCCUGCCACCAAACAUGUUUUCUCAUGGACUCUGCAACAGGUCACCCGACCCUGGCUGAAUGAACAUCUGGAGAGGGUACUCCCCCCAUCACUGCUCAUCUCGGAUGACUAUCAAACUGAGAACAAAACACUUGGUGUGCACUGCCUCCAUCACAUCGUGCUGAAUGUGCCGGCUGCUGAUUUGCUCCAGUAUAACAGAGCCCAGGUCCUCUACCAUGCCCUUUUCAACCACCUGUACACACCAGAGUACAACCUCAUUCAGGCUGUGCUCCUGUGUCUGCUGGAUUUAUUCCCUGUCCUUGAGAAAGGCCUGCACUGGAAGGGAGGUGCUGCUCGACCCACCACGCACUGUGAUGAGGUACUGCAGUUGAUCCUGACCCACAUGGAGCCGGAGCACCGCCUUCUCUUACGCAGGACCUACGCGAGAAACCUCCCAGCGUUUGUGAAGAGGUUGGGGAUUCUAACUGUCCGGCACUUAAAGAGGCUGGAGCGAGUCAUCAUUGGUUAUCUGGAGGUUUAUGAUGGACCAGAGGAGGAGGCUAGAUUGAAGAUACUGGAAACUCUAAAACUUCUCAUGCAGUAUGCAUGGCCCAGAGUUUCCUGUAGACUUGUGGUCUUACUGAAGGCUCUCCUGAAACUGAUAUGCGAUGUAGCAAGGGAUCCAAACCUUACACCCGAGCCUGUUAAGAACACCUUAUUAGAGGAAGCCACAGAUUGCUUGAUUCUCCUGGACCACUGUUCUCAAGGACAGGUGAAGGGUCUCCUGGUCAAAAUUCUCCAAAGCUGUGAAGACAGCAAGGUGGUGAACUGUAUCAGAAAAGUGCAGCAGGUGUCUGAAGGCGCGUCCUGCGAUGGAACUUAAAUUUGUCUUUCCUACAGCAGGAAGGCUUCUUGGUCCAACUGUGUAAAUGGAAUUGUUUAAGAAAAAAGAAUCUGAAGAGUCACUCUCUGCCUCCUGCUGUUCCAGGGCCUUGUCGAAGGCAUGAAUGGGGAAGUUGUAGAUGUCGCCAUACUGAAGGACAGAAACACACACCGGCUUUAAUGACAUCUCAAUUUUACACUUGAAGUCCACUGUCCAAUAAGCAUAUUCCUCAGUGAUUAAAUGAGAAUACUUAAUUCGA